rnacentral:lncRNA from 1 species
GAAGCAAUAAAUCAUAUAAUGCAGCCCGUGAAUCUUUCUUCAGGUGUUUCUGCUUGUUGCAGCCCCUUCAUCUGAGCCCCAAGACAGUGAUAGGGUCAGAUUGCUUCUUUAUCUGAGAUAGGAAGGAGCUUGAGGAACGGGCUGUCUUCUCCAAGUCAUAGGCCUCCUUGAAUCCUGUUUAAUAAGAAACAGAAUUAAUUCCAUGAAGCAUAGGAUCCCUUUCAUAGGGAGUACUAGAAACUAGUUUGCCUGUCUGGCUCCUGGCUCCUGCCUGCUGCUAGUUACCAAAGAAAUAACAUUGCUGUUUUUAGCAGAAGCAGAAGCAUUCUCAAUUCCUGACUCAGAGCUUACUACUAGGCUAUUGCAGAACUUCAGGACUGUGAGCAGAAAUGAAAUGGCAGCUUCUACGAAGAAUUGCACCAUAGUAUAACUGUCCCUAUGGUAAUAAGUCAAAAUGGAUGUAAAUGCAAAUCUUCAGAAAAAAAACCAAGAGUGUUUAACUCUCUUUGAUUUCAGUGACACUCAGAUACCUUAAUGCUUUUGAAAGUCUGUGUUUGAUUUUCCUCAUUAAGAAGAAUAGAUCAAGAAUAUUUUCUCCUUUUCUGAAUAACAGGAUACAUGAAAAAUUAAUCCCUGAUAGAUACAAGUUGGCUUUCUGAUUUAUGGACAGAAAGGGUGAUUAAAUCUUUCAGAUAUUUUGUCUGUUUGCUUGUAAAAAUAAUAAAAAAUGACAUUCAUUUAGAUAAUCA